rnacentral:rRNA from 1 species
GACGAAGGAUGCAAGCGUUAUCCGGAUUCAUUGGGUUUAAAGGGAGCGUAGGUGGCCUUAUAAGUCAGUGGUGAAAUCUCGCAGCUUAACUGUGAAAUUGCCAUUGAUACUGUAGGGCUUGAGUACAGAUGCCGUUGGCGGAAUAUGACAUGUAGUGGUGAAAUACAUAGAGAUGUCAUAGAACACCGAUUGCGAAGGCAGCUGACGAAACUGUAACUGACACUGAGGCUCGAAAGUGCGGGGAUCAAACAGG